rnacentral:lncRNA from 1 species
AAUGCUCUGAUACCACUUGUUGAAAAAAGUUUAGAUUCAAAUAUGCAAAAUUAAAAUAAUAACAAGCAAGAAGUUACUUUUAUUGUCUCUAGAUGAUUAAGGUAAUUAAUCCAAUUAACCCUAAGUCUAAACGAUUAACAAACACUGAGAUCAAAAGUUAGAAAAGUUAACUUACAAUUAAUCUAGACAUCGCUAAACCUUAGCUGACUCUGACCACUUAACUUGUAAAUCACCAAGAAAUUCCUUCGAUUGUACGACACGCACUUCCCAAAAAUUUUGAGCUACUUUUCCCUCCAUGUAGACCACCAAGGACGAACCCGUUCCGAAGCACAUGAAUUCCAACCGUCUCUUUU